rnacentral:rRNA from 1 species
GAUGAACGCUGGCGGCGUGCCUAAUACAUGCAAGUCGAGCGAACGGACGAGAAGCUUGCUUCUCUGAUGUUAGCGGCGGACGGGUGAGUAACACGUGGAUAACCUACCUAUAAGACUGGGAUAACUUCGGGAAACCGGAGCUAAUACCGGAUAAUAUUUUGAACCGCAUGGUUCAAAAGUGAAAGACGGUCUUGCUGUCACUUAUAGAUGGAUCCGCGCUGCAUUAGCUAGUUGGUAAGGUAACGGCUUACCAAGGCAACGAUGCAUAGCCGACCUGAGAGGGUGAUCGGCCACACUGGGACUGAGACACGGUCCAGACUCCUACGGGAGGCAGCAGUAGGGAAUCUUCCGCAAUGGGCGAAAGCCUGGCGGAGCAACGCCGCGUGAGUGAUGAAGGUCUUCGGAUCGUAAAACUCUGUUAUUAGGGAAGAACAUAUGUGUAAGUAACUGUGCACAUCUUGACGGUACCUAAUCAGAAAGCCACGGCUAACUACGUG